GAAUACUCUCUGUGCUGCCAGGUGCUGUCGGGACAGAUUUUCCCGUGGUAGCGGCAUCGCAGGAACAUGUGUCCCCACGGCUUUUUCUGCGGCCGCCCCCUCUGCCGACACGCUGGCGUAUAUAUGAAGCAUGAGUGGCCAAAAGCUGCCGCACACAGGCUGAGGAGGACCCGCGGCACCUGCAGCAGAGCAGUUGAACCCAGCUAUGAUGUAAGUCAGAUCUUCCAGUGGCUGGUGGCCAGUGCCGACUGGGACAGCUUCCAGCCUCAGAGGACUGCGAUUAACCCAGGAGCGGUCAAACUCGGCAGGACGCCCUCCACAACCAGCCACAGCUAUUUAUCCACUUUCCAAUGAAACCAAUUACUUUUACAGCAAGCCCCAGCGCCAACAUUAUAUGUGUUGUUCUUGCAGACCAAAAGAGUAUGGCUUUGAAAAGAGAGCCAGGCAUGAAGUAGGAAACCCUCCUGAGCUGCUCCAGCAGGCUGUAAAAUAUACCUAAAGUCAGUAUCCAUGGAGACUAGCUGGUGUGUGAGAGCAGCCUGAAGGAUACACGUGGAUAUUAUUACUAUUGCUAUUUACUGUUCUUUGUCUUUUACUUGUUAUUGUAGAGUGUUAGUUUUUACACAGUUUCCUCUGGGAUUAAUACAUGAUUCCGAUUCUGAGUAAUAGUGUUGGAGUUGCUACAAAUUUCCUUCAUGUAGCUACCAGAAGAAAUGUUUUUAAUGUAAAUCUGCUUACACCUUGCUUAUAUUUAUUUAUAUGUUUUACAAUGUGCUUAUUGCAGGACAUCACAGCUUUUAACAAAUUCUGAUAUUUUAGCUUCUUUUUUGAAAAUUAAAUUUCAACAGUUGUAAAAGUCACAGCAUGUUAACUUCAUAGAACUUUUUCAGUCAUUUUCAUCUUCUUUUCACUAUGAAAAUGACCUUGCAGAAACAGAGGGAAAUGCAAGCGCAAGGGCUUUUCUACAAAAAUUGUAUAAGAAAAAUCUAGAAAACAUCCAGUUAUUGUUUGACACAUUAAGGACGCAUUACUUCUUCCAUUAACAUUGAGCUGUGUAAGUGUAAAUGUUCAUUUUACUACUGCUACUCAAGCAAGUUUCAGUCUGAUUUUCACAGAUGCAAGAUCUCGAGCCAAUUAACUUUAAUUUAUAAUUAUUAUAAUUUAAUAUUAAUAAAAAUAUGAUUUUAUCAUUUUAUAAUUUUUAUUUGUUAUGUUAAAAUUUCUUCUCUGUUUUCAGAGUCAAGUGAUUAUAUGACUCACAAAUGCACAGAAAAUACUGCAACCAACACUGCAAAGUGCUGACAAACACAGUAAACCAAAUAGCUUAUAUAAUACAAACCAACCACAAUGGUUGCCCAGGGUAACAUGUUCACAUUGCUUUUGGCAACUGACUUGCUCUGAAAAAUACCCAAAGAUGUUGAGUGCACUGCAGUCUUACAAAUGUUAACUUCUGAGAAUCUGUGACUAAAGAUCAUUUCUGCUUUGUUUGGUGCUGAUUAGCAUUUUCCUUUACUGCUGAACGAAAAUCUAAUGAAGCUCCAUUUAAGGCUUUUGGAGGGCUUUUCUUGACAUUAGAAUCCACAGGCUAACAGUAAAAUGAGGGGGCAUAUUUUUUGAAUUAUGUUGACAAGGUUGUUUUUUUUCUGCAUCUGUCCAAUAAAUGUCAUGUUAAAGUGUUGUUAUUAGGUUACUAGUCGUAAGUAAGGAAAGGACGAGGACAGCAGACUCAGUUAAUAAAGCAGUCAUAUCACUGAUCGCUGGCUGGGCUAAUUGACAGACACAUGAAGAGAAAACUACUAAUUGAUUAUAGGCUUGUCCUAUUCUAGCGCAGGAGGUGACUGAUGGAAAAUGUGAAUUGGCCUGAGAGAUGCUUUAUGCCUAUGUCUACAUUUGGAUUUCUGUUUCGAUGAAAAACUUUCUGCACAGUGCUUUCUGCUUGAAAUUUCUACGUUCUUUAAGGUGCAAUAAAAAAAGUGGUGGUUUUUAUAGUUAUUUGUGUGUCUUGACAGUUGUGCUGUCACUUAGCAGAGGGUCUCCAGGCUUUCUAAUACAGUCCCACUGAGCUUAUAUCCAAAAGAAGUAUUUACUUUUAACCAAGUGAAGCCUGAACCAUGAAAUGUUUUUUUGAAACUGGGAUGUUUACUGAGCCUUCUGACCAAUAAAAAAUAAAUAAAUAAAUGAAA